UAUCAUCUUUAUGUUUCUCAGUUCUUUUUGCUAUUUUUACUCUUUUUUUUUCAAGCAAUUCUCAAAAUAAAUGUAAGUACAGUCACGCCAACAACUCUCUCACCACCGUCACAACUGCCGCUCACUUCAUCGUUGUCGCCAUUGUCAGCGAGCUUAUAAGAUUUUCACGAGAAUAUGUUCUUCUCACACGAAGCGUUUUUCCGAUUCUUUCAGAUCUCGGUUACAACGAGUUAGCCACUGCAACACCCAUCUCAGUUGACAUAUCUUCUACAUGUAUAGUUUAAUGAAUUCAAUUUGCCUUUAAUUCACUUUACCAGAUCCACUCCAAAAAAGCAAUAGCCAUGGGUAAGAAAAAGGUUCACAUCAUUGUUGUCAUCAUGUCAAACCCGUGAGCUGGUGUUUCAUGAUUCUUUCAAAUCAUAUGGAUGAAGCACUUUAAGCUUUAAUGGCGGCAAUUUGAAAGGAGGUUGAAGAUGAAGAAUAUUUUGGUCUUAUCUGUGUCACACGGUUUUUGUGUUUAGAGGUUAUAAUUGUCUUAUUUCAAUUUUAUUUGGGGUAUGAGAGAAUUGUGAAAACUUUUCUAUUUUAUUGAGAGAUUAUUGCAAAAAUAAAAAAUCUGAGGUAAAAACAUUAAAUAGGACUAAUUUUGAGGGAUUUGUGUAGAUUA